UGUGAUUCAUCUCAUACGCAUCGUUGGCUGUUCUCUUUCGGCUUUUCAAGUGGGCUAAGGUUGACCGCUUUCAGGGGUAUGUCAAGGUGUAGGUGCAGACUCAUUGUUGAUGUUGAAUACUGGAGUAAGAAUGAUGAUCAAUGCUCUGACCGUGCCGUUGGAGAUAAUGGUGCGAGCUCGACCAGUUCGUGGUUAGGACACACAAGCCGCCUAUAUCUUUCUCUCUGUGUCUCCUUCUGUUGCUGUUUGGAACUUGGUGGGCUGGUGGCUGCGUCGGAUUAAUCAAGGGAUUCUGUUUAGCUUAGUUUCAUUACCGGAAAGCCUAAGAGCGGCGUUCUUUAUUACCUGGUUAAAUCAAUCCCUGCCUCCCGCUGGUCGCCAGCUCCGAUGCUUCGCCGAGUGGAGAACCAGGAAGGAGGGGCGUGAAGGGGAGAAGGGGGUGUGGCGGAGAAGGAGCCACUUUCAUAUCUAUGUUGUCUUAUUAGGAAAAUAGAGUUUGUUUUAUAGCUGAUGCUUAAUAUGUUCUAUCGAUUGGUGAAUGCUCAACUUUAGCUCAUAAACUGGAUGGCAAAUGCUAAUUCUGAUGGGGCUUUUGCCACUUAUUGUUUUAUGGUUGUCUAGACAGCUGAUGGCAUGCUUCUUUCUU